GACGAACGCUGGCGGCGUGCCUAACACAUGCAAGUUGAGCGACGAACCAGGGCUUGCCCUGGGGCAAAGCAGCGAACGGGUGAGUAACACGUGGGUAACCUACCCCGAUAACCGGGACAACCCGAGGAAACUCGGGCUAAUACCGGAUGUGCUCACUGGACUUCGGUUCAGUGCGUAAAGGAAGCUUCGGCCUCCGUAUCGGGAGGGGCCCGCGGCCCAUUAGUUUGUUGGUGAGGUAACGGCUCACCAAGACCGCGAUGGGUAGCUGGUCUGAGAGGACGAUCAGCCACACUGGGACUGAGACACGGCCCAGACUCCUACGGGAGGCAGCAGUGGGGAAUCUUGCGCAAUGCGCGAAAGCGUGACGCAGCAACGCCGCGUGGGGGAAGAAGGCCUUCGGGUUGUAAACCCCUUUCAGGAGGGACGAAGGUUCGGCGGUGAAUAGCCGUCCGGACUGACGGUACCUCCACAAGAAGCCCCGGCGAACUACGU
rnacentral:rRNA from 1 species